UAUAGUUUAGUAUAAAGGUGCAUCAAUUUUUGAAGUUGGAGGAAAUAGUGUAAUUCUAUUAAUUAUAA
rnacentral:tRNA from 1 species